UCAAUAUAACAAGAUCAGGAACCAGCGACGGACUAGAGGCCGUUGGCAACCCAUGGGCAAUCUAGACGACUCGGGCCGUUGGGUUUAGCAACCUGCCUUCGAUGGCUCGAUCGCUCUCAUUUUCUCAGUAACUAGACGGAUUCUCCGAUGGGAGCUCCGUCUCUUUGUCUUUCGAGGUCGGUGCGCUCGGUGUGGAUGUUAGCUUCCCUCUCUCCUCCCCUGUCCGGUGCGAUCCGCUGGCCGCCUCCCGUUCGUCGGCUUCAUCGCCGACAUCUCCUGCUGCUUGCCCCAUCCCUCUCGUUCACCCUCUUUCCCACUUUUCUCUCUGCUUCCCCACCAUUCCCCUGCUGACCCUCUCCGCUCGCACAACUUUUUCCUCACGAGACAACUGUUCAGAUUAGUGGAAAGUGGAAACGCAAUCUCGUUUGGACUUUUUCCCUCUCCUGCUGGGCAUCACUGGCUACCAGAGGAAUUCGACAGAGCGAGGAUGAGCAGGGGAAAUUUGACGCUGGUCCAAAACCUACUGCGUUGAAAUCUUUUUCUCCUCCAUCGCUGGUCCACAUAAUCUGGUAAGAAGAUGGCAGAUGCCUACUGGAACGCGGGUGAAGUUCCCGGCACGCCUGUUGAGAAGAGGCCAAGACCCACAUAUGAUAUGCUUGCUCAUCGGAAAUCCUAGGAUGGAUCUCCUUUUCCUUCGCUGGAUUUUUUUUUUCUCUAUCUUCCUGCAGUUUUGUAGCUAUUUAAUUGUUUGUUUGCUUUCGCUUUGCUUAUUAAACAUAGGAAUACAUUGAUUUGUUUAUAGGCUGCUGCUUGUGUAGAUUAUGCUUUCUGGUUAUAUGGUUAUUUGCUGUAACGGAUGGUUUUGAAUGUGUGGAGACAUGAUACAAUUUCUGAUGCUUGAUUAAAAUUUUUGUGGUGAUCCACAGGUUUUUCUGAUGAUUCACAGGUUUUUGGCGUCAUAGGUAGCGGAUGGCAGACAAGUGCAUGUUACAAGGGAAGAAAGAGAUUUCAUGGUGGCUAGAGUGCAAACAGAUAGACAGGCUGGUUUUUUUGUUACACCUCCAUAACCAGGAGCAUAAAGUAAGGCAGCAUGGAUCAAGAUUCAAGUACAGUUGCAGAGCCAAGUUGUUAAGUGCAGCAAUCUUGCACUUUAGUAGGUUCUUCUUGCCUGCUCAUUUUGCUUUAAAGCUAUUUGCAUCAAAGAACCAUUAGGCAAUCUGCAAAUAGAAUGCCAAGACGUUGAACUGCAGUCAGCAUACAAUCUUGCGCCUAAAAGAGGAGAAAGAUAAAUGUUCGAAUUCUUACAAACGUGAUUAAUCAAAUUUUCGACAUCUCAAGCUUGUCUCAGAUAUCGCAGGAAUCAGUGGCUGCGUGAUGACCAUUUUAGAGAAACUAUAGGCAUAAGAUUUGAGGUAUAGACUAACAAUGCUGAAGAGACAGAUUUGAAGGUUGCAGCUUUGCUAAGGCAUCAGGAACCUACAAAAGGGUGGCCGUUAUCACUCACACUCAAGAAGCUAAUAUACCCGGUGGUUGCUGCCAAGGAUGGAAAGCAAUCCUUGACAUCAUCUUCACAUGGAAGGCAAGGCAAAGCAUCUGUUUCUCUCAAAAGCUGAUAUUCAUGUUGAAGUUGGGCGCCAUUAAUGGGUCGUACGUCCUCCUGUCAUUUUAUCAUCCAUUUCCAAGUCAUUCCUUUGCUUUUCAAGGAUCUUCAACAGUAGAGCAAGCCAGUGGAGCUUUUUGCUGCCAUAUACAUUAACUGUCAUCACAUGCGUGAAUCUGAAUGACGUUGGGGUACUUCUAUUUUUUCUACCUGAUAUAUCGUUCCAAUUUAUUGGAUGUCUCCAAGGAGGCUUUUUCUACCUGCUCUAGCUUCAUGUGUUGAAACUUCAACGUGUAAAAUCUUCACCAUCUUGUCUUGGUGGGCACAGUUAAUCUUCGUGAGUGCUACGAAGAAUUUCUUGGUUUAUCAACCUGCCUCAGUAUCAGCUCAUCCAAGCACCACACACUUAUCAUAUGGAAAAGAAAAAGAGACCAUAUCGUGGCAUAAACAUCUUCAAAGUAAGACCUGGGGUAUGUGUUUGGAUCAGAUUUGCUUCUGCUUAAUCAGAAGCAUUUUCAGUAGAUUGUAUUCCACUCAAUUUUCUUUGCUGGAUGCAACUUAUCUAAAAGCUAAAUGCUUUUGCACCCAUUUACAUGAGAAAUAAAGAAAAAAAGACAAGUCUUUUUUGUCCCAAAAUCCUAUUUCCAAUUUCAUGGCAUACGCUUGCAUUUUGUAUGCCAGUUUGACUUUCAAAAUAUCCAUUGAUCUGCAACCGCUAUUCACAGGGAACACAAUGCAGGUAUUGGCAUAUGAUUAUGCAAAUGUUUAAUAGGUUGCUGUUUCUUAUGCUUUUGAGUCUUGAUGAAUCUAUUGCUGGAAUUAUGAUGAAGUCAUACCUGUGCAAUUCAUUUGUGCUAAGUGUGCUCAAGCAAUAUUCCAGGAACCAAUGAGAGAGAGAGAGGCAAAGCUGUUUGAUGGUCCAUAGCAGUUGAUAGAUUGAACUGUAAAUAUAAUAGGUUAGCGGUGAACACCAUAAUAUUGUUACAAUUGUGAAAUAUGACUCCACGCUUUUCAUCUUUGAAAUUUCUAUUUUCAUGGUUGAAAAUUUUCUUUGAUCAGAGAACAAAAGCCUUUUGUAGUGGGGAUCAAGCAUUGAGGGUGUCAGAUUUAUAUGAUGCUGAUAGCCUGAUAAGGAUAAUUUUGGUCCUUUUAAUGUCUUGGAUCUGCAGGUGAGUCUAUCAUGCUUAUUGAUAUAAAUUUAUGACGUGAAUCUUCUGGUUUUCUGCAGCUUGUUCGUUUAUGGAUUGAUGUACAAACUAUAGAGUGGGGUUAUAACGAGGCUUAACAAUUGGCUGAUUUAUGUUUGCUUUUUUUUCCCUCUUCUGUAAGACUGAAUUUGCGUUUACAUACUUUUUCCUUUUUUUUUUC